AAGCUCGUAGUUGAAUUUCGGGGUUCUACCGUUGGUCGGGCUAACCAGUCUGUACUAGCGUGUAGAAUUCCUACCUUCUGGGGAACCAUCAUGUUAUUAAUUUAGCGUGGUGGGAAACCAGGACCUUUACCUUGAAAAAAAUUAGAGUGUUCAAAGCAGGCUUACGCCUGAAUACAUUAGCAUGGAAUAAUAAAAUAGGACGGUGGUCCUGUUUUGUUGGUUUCUGAAUCACCGUAAUGAUUAAUAGGGAUAGUUGGG
rnacentral:rRNA from 1 species